rnacentral:rRNA from 1 species
GACGAACGCUGGCGGCGCGCUUAACACAUGCAAGUCGAGCGAGAACCGAUCCUUCGGGGUCGGGGAAAGCGGCGAACGGGUGAGUAACACGUGAGUAAUCCACCCUCGGCACCGGGAUAGCCCGGGGAAACCCGGACUAAUACCGGAUGGCCCAGCAGCUCUUCGGGGCGGCUGGAAAAGGUAGCUUCGGCCUCCGGCCGAGGACGAGCUCGCGGCGGAUUAGCUUGUUGGUGGGGUAUGGCCCACCAAGGCGACGAUCCGUAGCUGGUCUGAGAGGACGAUCAGCCACACUGGGACUGAGACACGGCCCAGACUCCUACGGGAGGCAGCAGUGGGGAAUCUUGCGCAAUGGGCGAAAGCCUGACGCAGCGACGCCGCGUGAGGGAAGAAGGCUUUCGGGUUGUAAACCUCUUUCAGGAGGGACGAAGCUACUCGGGUUAACAGCCCAGAGGGUGACGGUACCUCCAGAAGAAGCCCCGGCUAACUACGUGCCAGCCGCCGCAGUAA